CGGGCGCUGCGCGCGGGCCCGGCCCGGGGCAGGGCGGACAUGGGCGCCAAGCAGAGCGGCCCGGCCGCUGCUAACGGCCGCACCCGCGCGUAUUCGGGCUCCGACUUACCCUCCAGCAGCGGCGGAGGGGCCAACGGGACCGCCGGCGGCGGAGGGGCGCGGGCCGCGGCCGCCGGGAGGCUUCCGGCUCAGGUGCCGGGCGCGCACCAGCCCAGCGCCUCGGGCGGCGCCGCGGCGGCCUCAGCGGCCCCGCGCAGCCGCUCUCUCGGCGGGGCAGUGGGCACCGUGGCGUCGGGGGCCCGCGCCGCGCAGUCCUCCCUCAGCAUCCCCAGCAGCAGCAGCGGCCAGUACGGCUCGCAGGACUCGGUGCACAGCAGCCCGGAGGACGGCGGCGGCGGCGGCGGCAGGGACCGGCCGGCGGGCGGGGGCCCGGGCGGGCCGCGCCUGGUCAUCGGCUCGCUCCCGGCUCACCUCUCGCCGCACUUGUUUGGAGGAUUUAAGUGCCCUGUAUGCUCAAAAUUUGUACCCUCAGAUGAAAUGGAUUUACAUCUUGUGAUGUGUUUAACAAAGCCAAGAAUAACCUAUAAUGAGGAUGUCCUGAGUAAAGAUACUGGGGAAUGUGCGAUAUGCCUGGAAGACUUGCAGCAAGGGGACACGAUAGCACGGCUGCCUUGUCUGUGCAUCUACCAUAAAGGCUGCAUAGAUGAAUGGUUUGAAGUAAAUAGAUCUUGCCCUGAGCACCCUUCAGAUUAAGCAUCAGCUUCCUGUUUUAUAGGUUUUCUUCUCUUCUCAAGAUGCUUAAAAAAACAAGAGGAAAUGGGGAUCUGUCUCUGGAAAAACAAAAACAAAAAAUGCAGGCAUACUCAGCCAAAAAUCUGAGUUCUGUGUGACUUAGUCGAUGCAGAGAUAGACAAUCAUAUAGAGAAAAACCCUGCUGGAGGGAGGACAUUUGCCACAGAACUCAGUGCACCAAACAUGACAUAAGGACUCACAGGGAUUUUGAAAAUGCUGCACAUCCCUUAAUAGUCAUCUACAUAGAAUUCCUGCAUUGCAUGGGGAAUACCUGGUCUUUUAAGUCAGGUGAUUCUCUGUGGAAAGUAAAAGGCAUUGAAGAAAACCAGAUGUGUUGAUGUUGAUGAAAAUACAGCAUUACUUUCUUUAUGGAGUCGAUACAUUUUCAGGACAAGAUCUCUGCCUGGGAAAAGCUGAUUAUGCCAGAAGUAGCUGCUGGAGAACCUGAGAUAAAGAACACCAAUUCCGACACCAAAGAUUGGAUCUUACAUGGAAGGCAGAGCCUUAAGAAGCCAGUCAGGAAUACUGGGCAAGUUGUGAGAAAGCAGGAGAGAGAGUGUGUGUGUGUGUGUGUGUGUGUGUGUCUGUCUGUCUGUCUGUUAGGGUUCAGGAGGUAUUAGACACAAUAGUUGCCAGCACCAUUAGAGCUCUGAGGCGGUAAGUGCAUGGUAAGUACACUGAGCGAGUGGAAGGUCUAGGCUGGCUGAACUGGACCUUUCCCGGCACCCUGCCCCCCUCUUACCCUCAGAUGCCCAUUGGAUAGGGCCGUGCUUCCCCGGGGUUGCUCAGUGCUGAGGUGCCUCCAAUGAGCAACCCUAGGGUUUUCUCUCUGGUUCAUCUGUCCCAUAUCUUUCCAUCCUACAAGUGUCCUCAGACAUUCACACCAGAAGAAAGCUGUUGUUGGAAGCAGAAUUUGUGGAAGUAGACAGGAAGGGUGAAUCCUGCUGUCCAGGGGAUGCUGCUGUUGGGAUGGCUGGGUCAGGUUGGCAAGAGGAGGACCAGGAAACAUGGGUCAGCUCCUGGGGAAAAUUAUAAUUCCAGGCAAAAGUUGGUAAUGUGUAAUGGCAUCGCAAAUAUAUGACUAGCGUGGGUGUGCAAAGCCUACUUCCUGAAUAAGCAUUUGUGUCAGACCUUUUAAGGGGUAAGAGUAGUAAAGUCACUGGAAAAUUCUUUAUCUGACUGGUAAGUGUGAGUGCUGCUGAAACAAAUGAAAACAGAUGAAAGUAUUGCAAACAGAGAUUGUGGUCGAGACAGCCAGACACAGAUGUGGGAACUCAUUUUCGUUUUUAGAGGCUUGUUUCCUCAACAAGAACGGUGUUCUAUUUCUAACCAGUUUUCUUUCACAGCUUUUUAAAGACAACUCGAGUAAGUUCUAAUUUACAUACAACAAAAACAUGCAUUGGAAGGGUAUGGUCUGAUGAGUUUGGACACUUGUGUACACCUGAGCAACUAUCACCAUGACAGGGAACGUUCUUAUCACCCCUCAGAAGUUACCACCAGCCUCUUUCCACUCGGGUCCCACCCACCCGUCCGUCCUCAGCCCUGGGCAGCACAGACCUGCUUCGUUUCGUGUCACUGUGGACUAGAUGAAAACAUUCAAAAUGUCCUUUAUUUGUGUAAGGCUUGUUUUGCUCAUUGUGUCUGUGAUAGGCAUCAGUUUAUUGCUUGAAUCAGUUCUUUUUUAUUGCUGAGUAGUAUUCCAUUGUAUGAAGAUACUACAGUUCGUUACCCAUUCUAUUGCUGGACACCUGGGCUGUUUCUAAUUUGGGCUAUUAUGAAUAAAGUAUCUGUAACAUUUAUAUAUAAAUCUUAUGUGAACAUGUGAUUUCAUCUCUCUUGAAUAAAUACCUAGGAGUGGAA